GCUGGGCAUGGUGGCUCAUGCCUGUAAUCCUAGCACUUUGGGAGGCUGAGGCGGGCAGAUCACCUGAGGUCAGGAGUUCAAGACCAGCCUGGUCAACAUGGUGAAAGCCCGUCUCUA
rnacentral:SRP_RNA from 1 species